GACACACGGUACAUUAAUUAGAAGAAGAAAUUAUAAAAAGAAAAAGAAGAAUCAUCACUCCUCUUUUUGUCAUAUUAAUAGUUAAUAUAAUUUAGAAAGGAUCAUAUCUGUGUUUCCGACUCCGUCUCGGGGAAAAAUAUAAUGGACCCAGUUCUGAGAUAUCAUACCAUGUAUUCCAUGGAUACCUCCAAUAUCUGAUUCACAGUUAAAUAUCUACUCGGAUUUUAACUCUAGCCAAGCAUGUUUGGAGUCUUUCGGAGUCCGAGUCGUUUCAUUUCAACACAUGGAACCUCGGGAAGUAAUCAAGAUGCAAAGAUAUGCUAUAAUUUUCGUGUUUUUGUUGCCCCUAUCGUCAACUCCAGAAAGUGAAAUCCUCAUUUCCGAUACGAUCCUAUAUUUCAUUGAGACUCUUCCAUGUCAAAAUUAAUGUCAUCCUGAUAAUAUGUUGGGUCAAUUAUGAAAAGGAAUUGUCUCUAACUCUAAAUCCUUCAUUUACUUCAACAAUCAAAGUUAUCAUUUAUAUUCAGAUAGAUGAUGUUCAGACAUCUUUGUAUUACCGUUCUAGAAAAUCCAAGUUCUGCUGUUUGUCGAGAAAGGCUUCAUUCACUAACUUGGAAGAUCCAUGUUCGAUAAUUAGCAAGGAAGUCAAUGGACUACUUUGCACGUCGAUAACUCUAGUGUAUUUAAGAAUACAAGACAAAGCUGACAGGAUCAAGGAACUAAUAAAUUACAAUUUGUCAAUCCGUUAUUGUUAACUUCAGUUUCUCAUUGAUUCAAUGAUUAAAGAUUGUUUUCA
rnacentral:lncRNA from 1 species